rnacentral:lncRNA from 1 species
AAGAAUACUGGAGUGUGUUGCCAUUUUCUUCUCCAGGGGAUCUUCCUGAUGCAGAGAUUGAAUCCACAUCUCCUGCACUGCAGGUGGAUCCUUUACCACUGAACCAUGGAGGGAUCCAGAGAGACUCAAUGCUAGAAUAUUCUAGCAAAUCAGACGGCAUGAAAGAGGUUCAUCAAAAAAGUAUUUGGCUGGGGGACAAAUGGCUCUUUUCCACAAUUAAAGAGCUGAAAGCACAAUAUUGGUGGUGUCAGAUCAGUAAGGACGAGGACGGGGAACAGGGCGGGCUCCUGCCUGCGGUGUAG